rnacentral:lncRNA from 1 species
CAAAAUCUUAGUUUUCUCUUCAAUCUUGAAAACAUUUUGUAAUUGACAGUGCCCUAAAACAUGUUUCUAGACACUAGUGCAUUGCUCCAUUUCACAUUCUUGCCCUAUGUAAGGGUCAAUAUUUGCCUUGCAUGCUGUACAACACUUUGGUUCCCUAAUGCCUCUUGAGAAAUUUAUUUUUUAAUUGACUUUAGGCAUGAGAAGUAACCUUUAAAACCAAGAAAUGGUACCUAUACCAGAUAUCUGCAGGAAGGAUCCAUCUAACUGCACAGUGAUGCUUCAAGCCGGUUAUGGAGCACCCUCCGUGCAGCCACUCGGAGCUGUGCAGGACUGGUAGCAGGACCGAUCGGCAACUUUGGGAGUUUCCCACGGGUGUCUGGAGCACUUCUGAGGUCUGAAACACGGAUUCGGGAUCACUGUACUGCCCCGGGCCUCCAGGUCCCAGUUUGUGUAUCGCCUGAGGCAGUCCUGCGGCCUCUGGAACAAAGUGCGUGGGUGUGGCCAGGCGGGUGGGGUGGGAUUGGGGGGCUCGGGGCGGGGAGGGGCGGCUCGGCUUUCCCCAGGGCCCUAUUGGACCUGUGCGAAUUUAGGCCAUUUAAUGGGUGGCCGGCUUACUCUUUUCAUGGCUUUCAGAAGCAGACCCCGAAAAUAUCCUCCCUUUCCUCCAUCCCCAGGAUCAUUGGGAUUCCACCCUGCCUCGCUCUCUGGCACAGCCUGUCCACCAGGCCUGCGGAUGUCCGAUCCUGGGUCAUCUGCCUUACCCGCUUGUUCCCUGGCUUCGAACGCAACGGAAGACUUUGCCUGAGUCAUGCUAACCUUCUGCUCCAGAUGCCCACAAUUCGUAUGGUGCGAGAAUUCAUAUGGAGUAAGUAUAAUAAUAUUGCUAAUAAAGUUAUUUUUAUUAUUAAUAGCUAACAAUUAUAUAGUGCUUCCUAUAUUCCACGCAGUCUUCUAACUGUUUUCUAAAUUUUAGCUCUUUGAAUCCUUUCAAACCCCCAUGAGGUAGGUAUUAUUUCUUUCACAUGAGGAAGCUGAGGCUCCAGAG